rnacentral:rRNA from 1 species
UACGGGAGUGCCCAAUGCGGUUAUCCGGAAUUAUUGGGCGUAAAGGGUGUGUAGGUGGUUUUGUUAGUCUUCUGUUAAAGCUCCCGGCUUAACCGGGAAAGUGCAGAGGAAACGGCAAGACUUAGAGGAUGUGAGAGGUUUGCGGAACUCAAGGUGUAGGGUGAAAUCCGUUGAUAUCUUGGGAACACCAAAAGCGAAGGCAGCAAACUGGCGCAUUCCUGACACUGAAACACGAAAGCGUGGGUAGCGAAUGGG